UACGUAGGGAGCAAGCGUUGUCCGGAAUCAUUGGGCGUAAAGCGCGCGUAGGUGGCUCCAUAAGUCCGCUGUGAAAGUCAAAGGCUCAACCUUUGAAAGCCGGUGGAUACUGUGGAGCUAGAGUCCGGAAGAGGCGAGUGGAAUUCCUGGUGUAGCGGUGGAAUGCGCAGAUAUCAGGAGGAACACCAAUAGCGAAGGCAGCUCGCUGGGACGUUACUGACACUGAGGCGCGAAAGCGUGGGGAGCGAACAGG
rnacentral:rRNA from 1 species